rnacentral:rRNA from 1 species
GGGUUUGAUCCUGGCUCACGCAACGAACGCUAGCGGGAUGCCUCAAACAUGCAAGUCGUACGCGAAAGUCUCUUCGGAGGCGAGUAGAGUGGCGCACGGGUGCGUAACACGUAGCUAACGUACCCCUUCGAUUGGGAUAACUCCGGGAAACCGGAGCUAAUACCGAGUAUCCUGGGAAGGUCUGCGGACUUUUUCGGCAAAGCCUUAGGGCGCGAAGGGAUCGGGCUGCGGCCUAUUAGUUUGUUGGUGGGGUAACGGCCUACCAAGACUACGAUAGGUAGCUGGUCUGAGAGGAUGAUCAGCCACACUGGAACUGAGACACGGUCCAGACUCCCACGGGAGGCAGCAGUUGGGAAUCUUGCACAAUGGACGAAAGUCUGAUGCAGCAAUCCCGCGUGAGUGAUGAAGGCUUUCGGGUCGUAAAGCUCUUUCAAUGGGGAAGAUAAUGACGGUACCCAUAGAAGAAGCACCGGCUAACUACGUGCCAGCAGCCGCGGUAAUACGUAGGGUGCAAGCGUUGUUCGGAAUUAUUGGGCGUAAAGAGCGUGUAGGCGGUUUGUUAAGUCUGAUGUGAAAGCCCGGGGCUCAACCUCGGACGUGCAUUGGAUACUGGCAAGCUAGAGGAUGAGAGAGGGAAGUGGAAUUCCUGGUGUAGGGGUGAAAUCCGUAGAUAUCAGGAGGAACAUCGGAGGCGAAGGCGACUUCCUGGCUCAUUUCUGACGCUGAGACGCGAAAGCGUGGGUAGCAAACAGGAUUAGAUACCCUGAUAGUCCACGCCCUAAACGAUGGAUACUAGUCGUUGGAUCUCCUAAUAGAUUCAGUGACGUAGCUAACGCAUUAAGUAUCCCGCCUGGGGAGUACGGUCGCAGAUUAAAACUCAAAGGAAUUGACGGGGG